UUGUAGGCUUUGGAAGAUUUGGAUGGAGCACAGGUCGGGAUUGGUGGUGCACAGGCGAGCUCGGACAGGGGCGGGCACAGGCGAGCUCCACCUACAGCAGGGAGCGUCACAUCCCAAUAUCUACCAGGGAUCUGCUGCAGACACUGUAGGCUUUGGAAGAUUUGAGCACAAGUCGGGAUGCUCCCGUUCAUCUUUGGUUGUUUCCUUUCCCCUCUCUCUACGUUUGGAAUCCCAUGCCAAAAUCGAAGGUCACAACCCCCAGGCGAACAUUGCUCCAUCUGAUCUCUUCGUGUCCUUUUUAUAAAAAUUCUAACAUGUUUGGUUGUCCAAUCUGUCAUUAUUUUCUUGUGGAUUAAUGAACAACUUUGUAGCGAUGCAGCAAAGCUAUCCUCCCGUGGGCCUUUCUUCCAAGAUUUUGGGAUGGGCUGUGUCUUGCUUGACAUGGGAGACGUUCACAUAAUGAGAGCUGCUCAAGGAUGCUUCUAUCCUCAACAUGAUUCCUGGAUACAACACAAUAUCAGCAGCAUAUGCAUCUUGUAGUCUUUGUUCUUUUUUUUUGUGAAAACUUCAGUAGUAUUCCUCUAUAUGCAGCUAUUUUUUUAGUUAAUGCUAAUUAUGACUAAAAUCUUAGCACAAAAUGCUUUUAUAUACAUCUAUAUUUAUCUAUAGCUGAUAUCAGGUUUUUGCAAUCAGAACAUGUAUUUGCUGCAGUCCAACAUAAAAGGCGAGGGUGCGCCGCGAGCACCGCCAAGCCGUGCGAGGAGCCUAGGCUAGACCAAUGCUGGAAUAGGGUCACACUUUUGUUUGGCACGCAGACAGAUGCUAUUUUUUCGGUUGCUUCGAUGUGUUAUAAUGGUUUCUCUGGUGCGAACACGAAUAUUUCUAUUGCAUAUGUACUCGGUGG